GACGAACGCUGGCGGCGUGCUUAACACAUGCAAGUCGAACGGAAAGGCCCUGCUUUUGUGGGGUGCUCGAGUGGCGAACGGGUGAGUAACACGUGAGUAACCUGCCCUUGACUUUGGGAUAACUUCUGGAAACUGGGGCUAAUACCGGAUAGGAGCUCCUGCUGCAUGGUGGGGGUUGGAAAGUUUCGGCGGUUGGGGAUGGACUCGCGGCUUAUCAGCUUGUUGGUGGGGUAGUGGCUUACCAAGGCUUUGACGGGUAGCCGGCCUGAGAGGUGACCGGCCACAUUGGGACUGAGAUACGGCCCAGACUCCUACGGGAGGCAGCAGUGGGGAAUAUUGCACAAUGGGCGGAAGCCUGAUGCAGCAACGCCGCGUGCGGGAUGACGGCCUUCGGGUUGUAAACCGCUUUCGCCUGUGACGAAGCGUGAGUGACGGUAAUGGGUAAAGAAGCACCGGCUAACUACGUGCCAGCCGCCGCCGUAA
rnacentral:rRNA from 1 species